GUGGCGCUGGAUGUAACAACAUACAUUAUUAUGAAUGCCGCAAUUAUAAAGCUUACUAUCGUACCUGCAACAUUGGUCAAGUUUAUAACCCUAGCCAAAAGAAAUGUGUCCCUCAAACAAGUGCCUGUUGAAUCUUGUACUGUAAAACCAAACCGUAAAGAAAUUGCAAUAAAAUGUUUAUAAAAAUUA
rnacentral:sRNA from 1 species